AUAUGCUUGUCUCAAAGAUUAAGCCAUGCAUGUCUAAGUAUAAACAACUUUGUACUGUGAAACUGCGAAUGGCUCAUUAAAUCAGUUAUAGUUUAUUUGAUUAUACCUUACUACUUGGAUAACCGUGGUAAUUCUAGAGCUAAUACAUGCUAAAAAUCCCGACUUCUGGAAGGGAUGUAUUUAUUAGAUAAAAAACCAAUGCGGGCAACCGCUUCUCUGGUGAUUCAUAAUAACUUUUCGAAUCGCAUGGCCUU
rnacentral:rRNA from 1 species